UACGUAGGGACCGAGCGUUGUCCGGAAUCAUUGGGCGUAAAGAGCGUGUAGGCGGCUAUUUAAGUCCUGCGUGAAAUCCUGCGGCUCAACCGCAGACGGUCGUGGGAAACUGGAUGGCUAGAGUGCGGGAGAGGAGAGUGGAAUUCCCGGUGUAGCGGUGAAAUGCGCAGAUAUCGGGAAGAACACCCGUGGCGAAGGCGGGUCUCUGGGCUGUAACUGACGCUGAGGAGCGAAAGCGUGGGGAGCGAACAGG
rnacentral:rRNA from 1 species